rnacentral:rRNA from 1 species
CCCUUAGAUGUCCUGGGCCGCACGCGCGCUACACUGAUGCAUGCAACGAGUUUAUAACCUUGGCCUGAAAGGUCUGGGUAAUCUUUUGAACGUGCAUCGUGAUAGGGAUAGAUUAUUGCAAUUGUUAAUCUUGAACGAGGAAUUCCUAGUAGACGCGAGUCAUCAGCUCGCAUUGAUUACGUCCCUGCCCUUUGUACACACCGCCCGUCGCACCUACCGAUUGAAUGGUUCGGUGAAGAUCUCGGACUUCGAUAUUUAUUCUUUAUUGAGUUUAUAUUGUGGGAAGUUAUCUAAACCUCAUCAUUUAGAGGAAGGUGAAGUCGUAACA